AAAAAUAAUUUGCAAAAUAUUGAACGCCGAGUGUUUAAUUAUCGACUGUCACGGGCACGUCGAGUGUCAGAAAAUGCUUUUGGGAUUCUUGUUACAAGAUGGCGAAUUUUACAAACACCUAUCGCUUUAAAAAGAAGGAAGCAUUUCAUGGUAAUGGCAACAUAUAUAAUUUGAACAAAGGCUUUUUGUUUACUCAACAACAUUGAGCACCAAAUUCUUUAUAAAUAUAUAACAAAAAAAAAUAUCGUAGAACAUGUUUUAAAGCUUCUCCAACAGCAACCAUAUACCUAUCUUUAUCGUCUUUUUGGUCUGAUACCAAUGAUGUUANUGAAUUCAUAGCAGUAGAUAUUACCGAACUUACUUCUGCUAAUUCUCGAUCAAUUUGAUCAUCCUUCUUUUUCUUUCGUUUUGCAAAGUUAUCUGGUUCCGGUGUAACUUUUCUCACCGGUUUAAAUAUCAAUGAAGGACUUUUUACGUUUCUAGAAUUGGUGUUUAGUACUGAUAGUUGCGUAUUGCUGCUACUGCUGCUGUAAUUGGACAUUGUACUAGUAGAUCUAGUUGUCAUGUCUUCUUCAAUAGGAUUUGUUUCUAAUUCAUCUUUUUCUGUUUGCAAAGAUGACCCUUCACCUAUACAUUUUUUAUUAUAUUAAAAUGCAUAAAUAUUAAAACAAUAUUUUGUCUUUUAAAU